rnacentral:rRNA from 1 species
GACGAACGCUGGCGGCGUGCCUAACACAUGCAAGUCGAACGGAGAACAUUUAACAAUAGAUGUUCUUAGUGGCGGACGGGUGAGUAACGCGUGAGCAAUCUGCCCUUCGGAGGGGGACAACAGCUGGAAACGGCUGCUAAUACCGCAUAACGUAUUUGGAUGGCAUCAUCUGAAUACCAAAGAUUUAUCGCCGAAGGAUGAGCUCGCGUCUGAUUAGCUAGUUGGUAGGGUAAUGGCCUACCAAGGCUUCGAUCAGUAGCCGGACUGAGAGGUUGAACGGCCACAUUGGGACUGAGAUACGGCCCAGACUCCUACGGGAGGCAGCAGUGGGGAAUAUUGGGCAAUGGGGGCAACCCUGACCCAGCAACGCCGCGUGAAGGAAGAAGGCUUUCGGGUUGUAAACUUCUUUGACCAGGGACGAAGAAAUGACGGUACCUGGAAAACAAGCCACGGCUAACUACGUGCCAGCAGCCGCGGUAAUACGUAGGUGGCAAGCGUUGUCCGGAUUUACUGGGUGUAAAGGGCGCGUAGGCGGGACUGCAAGUCAGAUGUGAAAUCUGGGGGCUUAACCCUCAAACUGCAUUUGAAACUGUAGUUCUUGAGUAUCGGAGAGGCAGGCGGAAUUCCUAGUGUAGCGGUGAAAUGCGUAGAUAUUAAGAGGAACACCAGUGGCGAAGGCGGCCUGCUGGACGACAACUGACGCUGAGGCGCGAAAGCGUGGGGAGCAAACAGGAUUAGAUACCCUGGUAGUCCACGCUGUAAACGAUGAAUACUAGGUGUGGGGGGACUAACCCCCUCCGUGCCGGAGUUAACACAAUAAGUAUUCCACCUGGGGAGUACGGCCGCAAGGUUG